CUUAAUUAAAAAGAUAAAAUGGGCUUAGAACUAAGACCCAGAGUUGUUAUAGAAAGCCAUACAGUAAUUUGCUAAAAGGUCUGCAUGCCAAGUAAAAUCUCUAAAGAUGAAGGAAAUGGGACAAAAAGAAAAAUGUGAAGAUGAAGAGUUGAUAAGAAGAUCGCUGUCCGAAAGUACUCCGUGAAGUUCUGCCGGACGACGUCUUGAGGAGAUCGCUUUGACGAUCGCUUGAGAAUCUGAUCGGAGCCAGAUGUGAGUGAUGUCAAGAGUUGUUGCUUGAGUUAGGGCUUCCCUAAUUUUCAGUGCCUCAGCCAUGGAAGGAGAAGAGACAUGUUUCUUGAUGAGAUCGCCACAAUUCAGUUCAGUAGCUAUUUGGUCAGUGAAGAUCCACCCAAGUUCAGCCAUUUUUGUUUUUGCUUUCCACGAGGCAUCGGAGUUACAUAUGACGGUUGGAAGAUGGAUGUCUACCAUCGCAGGAGGUGGAGGUUUCGUCUUUGUGAUUGUGAUAGGCAUCGGUUGAGCUCGUUCCUACUCCUUGACGCAUGUGAUUGCUUUUGUGGAUGUCUCUUGUGGCGAGAGUUGGAAAUUCUGGAAUACAAGAAGGUUCCGAGAAAUCCAAAUCAUCCAACAUAACCACAAAAAGAGGUUAGAGCAGACUCCGUAAGUUGUGAGGGUUGUCCAAUUGUGUAAAUCCUGGAGAGUAUGUUUGAAAGAAUUGUCUUGGUUUGGCGCCAGUGUCUGUUUCCAUGGACUAAGCUUCCAAAUUUAUGUUGCAAAGUCACAAUGGAAGAGCAGGUGGUUGAUGGAUUAUGAUGCUCCACAUCUGAUGCAAGCAGUGUUUGUUAGGAUACCUCGAUGUUGCAGGUUUUCCCCCGUUGGCAAGACAUUAUGAGCUACCUUCCACAUAAAGAGUUUAAGCAUUGGUAUGAGGGGUUUUGUCCAGAUAUUCUGUAACGCCCCGCCCGCCCACGGUUAAUGGGCCACCCACCCCCGCUCACUCGCCCCGUGGGUCCCAUCCCAUCUGACGGGGGUGCGUAAUUUUCCAAGGCCCAAGAGACUUGUUUGCUGACCCAUGCAAUCACCACAUGAACCUUUUCCCGUGCUUUGGCCUCACUCGCAAGGUGUCGUGAAUCACUUCCCGAUAGGUCAUCCAUCCUUUCACUACUCCAGCCCAAGCACGUUUAACUCUGGAGUUCUAAACGGAUGUGUGUCGGAAAAGGUAAGUAAACUUUGGUGACGUAGGUAGCCAAAUCAAUUCUCUUAAGUCUUUCCAUAUAUCACAACUCGGGAUGUUAUAAUUCACCCCCUCUCAAAGAACGCAACGUCUUCGUUGCGCCCCACGACAGGUCUCAAAACGCCUCUCGGGUAAGAAUCGAGAUGGCUAACCAGUUCUGAUACCACUUGUAACGCCCCGACCGCCCAUGACUAAUGGGCCACCCACACCUACUCUCUCGGCCCGUGGGCUCCAUCCCGUUCCAACGAUCGGUUCGUUAAUUUUUCAAAACACGAAAGUUUUGUUUACUAACCGUGCAAUCACCACAUGGCCUUUCCCCGUGCUUUGGCCUCACUUGCACAGUAUCGCGAAUCACUUUCCGAUAGGUCACCCAUCCUUCCACUACUCCAGCCCAAGCAUGCUUAAUCAUGGAGUUCUAAACGGAUGUGUGACGGAAAAGGUAAGUCAGCUUUGAUGACAUAGGUAGCCAAAUCAAUCCUCUUAAACCUUUUCAUAUAUCACAACUCGAGAUGUUACAUAUUCUUUGUCCAGUCCUAUUUCACAUUGGGUGCAUCAGGGGUGGAGAGUGAAGCUUGAAGCUUAUCUGCCUACAUCGAGAAGUAGCCUGAUCGUGCAGUGUAGGUUCCAGACUUCUGUAGUGGCCAUAUGUAGGUGUCUUGCGCAUUCAUCUUGCUAGGAUGGAUGGUUAGGAUACAAUCCUUUUGCUCUGGCAUGAGAAUAUCAAUAAGAGCGAAGUUUUAUUCCUUUGUUUCUCCACUAAGAAUGUCAGUAACUAGGAGAACUUGGUCUUUUUGUGUAACAGGUCCAUAGGGUCUUAGAUUAGCCUCUAGAUUAAUCCAUUAAUCAGACCAUAAUAUUGUAGACUCACCGUUUCCUAUUGCUUUUCCGAGGUGGUUCAGGAGUAAGUCUAUGCCUACAAGGAUACCUCUCCAUCCAUGUGAGAUAGAGGAGCUCGCAGUAACUUUGAGGAAGGAGGUUGUAUUGCAGUAUUUGCCCAAAAUGAUCCAAGAGAGUAGGCAUUCCGGUUUUGUAAUGAGUCUCCAAGCUAAUUAUGCCAACAGCGCCUGGUUAAUCAUCUGAACAUCUCUGAAGCCCAAACCUCCCAGUUUCUUUGGGCUGAGAGGUAGCUGAAAGCAUUACAUAGCAAAUGUGGGGAUUGCGGAGAGGAUAGACUGAAGCAUGGUUGCUUUACGUGCUGUGGGGAGGAACCUAUUAUACCAGCUUAGGGAGAUUUUUUUGAUACGGUCAACAAUCGAAGAGAAGAGGCGUUUUUUUCCGUUUCUCGAAAUGUAUUUGCAUGUUCCACCUCCUUUCUCAAUACCUAGCUGUUGUUUGACCCUGAGUCGCACAUCCUGAGGUGUUUUCGAUGAGAAAGUGCUGGACGAUUUAAGUACAUUUAUUUUAUGACGAGAGACUGUCUCAUAAUCUUGUAGGAUUGUCAGCUGCGAAGAGACGCUAUUUGGAUCGCUCUUGGUAAAGAAA